rnacentral:rRNA from 1 species
GACGAACGCUGGCGGCGUGCUUAACACAUGCAAGUCGAACGGAAAGGCCCUGCUUUUGUGGGGUGCUCGAGUGGCGAACGGGUGAGUAACACGUGAGUCACCUGCCCUUGACUUUGGGAUAACUUCAGGAAACUGGGGCUAAUACCGGAUAGGCGCUCCUGCUGCAUGGUGGGGGUUGGAAAGUUUCGACGGUUGGGGAUGGACUCGCGGCUUAUCAGCUUGUUGGUGGGGUAGUGGCUUACCAAGGCUUUGACGGGUAGCCGGCCUGAGAGGGUGACCGGCGACAUUGGGACUGAGAUACGGCCCAGACUCCUACGGGAGGCAGCAGUGGGGAAUAUUGCACAAUGGGCGGAAGCCUGAUGCAGCAACGCCGCGUGCGGGAGGACGGCCUUCGGGUUGUAAACCGCUUUCGCCUGUGACGAAGCGUGAGUGACGGUAAUGGGUAUAGAAGCACCGGCUAACUACGUG